rnacentral:rRNA from 1 species
AAUAGAUACCCGGGUAGUCCACGCCCUAAACGAUGUCUACUAGUUGUCGGGUUUUAAUUAACUUGGUAACACAGCUAACGCGUGAAGUAGACCGCCUGGGGAGUACGGUCGCAAGAUUAAAACUCAAAGGAAUUGACGGGGACCCGCACAAGCGGUGGAUGAUGUGGAUUAAUUCGAUGCAACGCGAAAAACCUUACCUACCCUUGACAUGUCAGGAAUCCUGGAGAGAUCUGGGAGUGCCCGAAAGGGAGCCUGAACACAGGUGCUGCAUGGCUGUCGUCAGCUCGUGUCGUGAGAUGUUGGGUUAAGUCCCGCAACGAGCGCAACCCUUGUCAUUAGUUGCUACGAAAGGGCACUCUAAUGAGACUGCCGGUGACAAACCGGAGGAAGGUGGGGAUGACGUCAAGUCCUCAUGGCCCUUAUGGGUAGGGCUUCACACGUCAUACAAUGGUACAUACAGAGGGCCGCCAACCCGCGAGGGGGAGCUAAUCCCAGAAAGUGUAUCGUAGUCCGGAUCGUAGUCUGCAACUCGACUACGUGAAGUU